rnacentral:tRNA from 1 species
GGGGUAUAGCUCAGAUGGUAGAGCGUUGGAUUUGCAUUCCAAAGGCCAGGAGUUCGAUCCUCCUUACCUCC